rnacentral:rRNA from 1 species
UACGGGGGGGGCAAGCGUUGUUCGGAAUUACUGGGCGUAAAGGGCUCGUAGGUGGCCAACUAAGUCAGACGUGAAAUCCCUCAGCUUAACUGGGGAACUGCGUCUGAUACUGGAUGGCUUGAGAUUGGGAGAGGGAUGCGGAAUUCCAGGUGUAGCGGUGAAAUGCGUAGAUAUCUGGAGGAACACCGGUGGCGAAGGCGGCAUCCUGGACAAACACUGACACUGAGGAGCGAAAGCCAGGGGAGCAAACGGG